CGAAAAUGAUUGGCGAUAAGCACUAUACCGAAGCUCUGGAUGCACAGCUUGCUGUGCGUGGUAGAGGAGCGUUCUCAACACCUUGAAGCCUUAAGGCGACUGAUGGUGGAGCGUUGAGAAGUGAGUAUGUAGACAUGAGUAACGAUAAGCCAGGUGAGAUCCCUGGCCGCCGUAAACCCAAGGUUUCCUGGGCCAUGCUGGUCAUCCCAGGGUUAGUCGGGACCUAAGCCGAGGCCGAUGGGCGUAGGCGAUGGACUAAAGAGGUUAAUAUUCCUCGACUUCCUGAAUACUUAAACUAGAAGGACGCAUAUUGAAUGACGAUUAUCUGAUUGAAUUGGGAGGUGAUGGUUUAUCCUGACCCGUAUCGUUUGAAGAUGUGCCAAGAAAAGUUCUAGUGUAUGUUAAUGGAACCCGUACCGUAAACCGACACAGGUGGGUGGGUAGAAUAUACUAAGGCGCAAGAGUGAAACCCUGUUAAGGAACUCGGCAAUCUAGCCCCGUAACUUCGGGAGAAGGGGUCCCGGGACUCGUCCCGGGCGCAGUGAAAGGGCCCAUCCGACUGUUUAGCAAAAACACAGCAUUCUGCGAACACGCAAGUGGAAGUAUAGGAUGUGACACGUGACCAAUGCCAAAAGAUUAAGGGGAGGUGUUAGCCUUCGGGCGAAGCUCUGAUCCUAAGUCCUGGUGAAUGUCGGCCGUAACUAUAACGGUCCUAAGGUAGCGAAAUUCCUUGUCGGGUAAGUUCCGACCUGCACGAAUCGUGCAACGAGAUGGGCGCUGUCUCAACAGGGAGCUCAGUGAAAUUGUAUCCGCGGUGAAGAUGCCGCGUACCCGCAGAAGGACGGAAAGACCCUAUAGACCUUAACUGUAAGCUGUCACUGGUUUCUCGAUUUUAAUGCUCAGCAUAAGUGGGAGGCUUUGAACCAUUCCUCUAGGGGAGUGGGGAGCCAUCAGUGAGAUACCACCCUUUAGCAUUGGGGAAUCUAACCUCUAGCCUUUAUCAGGCAGAGGGACCAUGGCAGCCGGUCAGUUUGACUGGGGCGGUCUCCUCCUAAAGAGUAACGGAGGAGCGCGAAGGUAGGCUCAGCGCGGUUGGCAAUCGCGUUUCGAGUGCAUUGGCAUAAGCCUGCCUAACUGCGAGACUUACAAGUCGAGCAGAGACGAAAGUCGGCCAAAGUGAUCCGGCGGUGGAAUAUGGAAUCGCCGUCGCUCAUCGGACAAAAGGUACCUUAGGGAUAACAGGCUGAUCGCGCCCAAGAGUUCAUAUCGACGGCGCGG
rnacentral:rRNA from 1 species